AACGGGUGAGUAACACGUGAGCAACCUGCCCCUGACUCUGGGAUAAGCGCUGGAAACGGCGUCUAAUACUGGAUACGAGUAGCGGCCGCAUGGUCAGUUACUGGAAAGAUUUUUUGGUUGGGGAUGGGCUCGCGGCCUAUCAGCUUGUUGGUGAGGUAAUGGCUCACCAAGGCGUCGACGGGUAGCCGGCCUGAGAGGGUGACCGGCCACACUGGGACUGAGACACGGCCCAGACUCCUACGGGAGGCAGCAGUGGGGAAUAUUGCACAAUGGGCGGAAGCCUGAUGCAGCAACGCCGCGUGAGGGAUGACGGCCUUCGGGUUGUAAACCUCUUUUAGCAGGGAAGAAGCGAAAGUGACGGUACCUGCAGAAAAAGCGCCGGCUAACUACGUGCCAGCAGCCGCGGUAAUACGUAGGGCGCAAGCGUUAUCCGGAAUUAUUGGGCGUAAAGAGCUCGUAGGCGGUUUGUCGCGUCCGCUGUGAAAUCCCGAGGCUCAACCUCGGGCCUGCAGUGGGUACGGGCAGACUAGAGUGCGGUAGGGGAGAUUGGAAUUCCUGGUGUAGCGGUGGAAUGCGCAGAUAUCAGGAGGAACACCGAUGGCGAAGGCAGAUCUCUGGGCCGUAACUGACGCUGAGGAGCGAAAGGGUGGGGAGCAAACAGGCUUAGAUACCCUGGUAGUCCACCCCGUAAACGUUGGGAACUAGUUGUGGGGU
rnacentral:rRNA from 1 species